GAUGAAGAACGUAGCGAAAUGCGAUAAGUAGUGUGAAUUGCAGAAUUCAGUGAAUCAUCGAAUCUUUGAACGCACAUUGCGCCCUUUGGUAUUCCUUAGGGCAUGCCUGUUCGAGCGUCAUUUACACCCUCAAGCGCUGCUUGGUGUUGGGCGCCUGUCCCGCCCCCGCGCGCGGACUCGCCUCGAAUCCAUCGGCGGCCCUCACGCCGGCCACGAGCGCAGCAGAAGCGCAGCUCGUGGGUCCGGCGGUGUGGCUCCCGCAAGCUACCUCCACCACUUUGACCUCGGAUCAGGUAGGGAUACCCGCUGAACUUAAGCAUAUCAAUAAGCGGAGGA
rnacentral:misc_RNA from 1 species